rnacentral:lncRNA from 1 species
CCCCCCCCCCCAAUUGCCAAUGACCGGGCGGGCCGGGGGACGGCGGGUGAGUGUGCGGGGCUGGGGGCGGAGGAGGGGGGGGUUGGCCGCGGCUCGCCUCCGCGCCGCCCCCGCCCCGCCGCAAUGUCAGCGGGUGGAGAGGGGGCCCCGCGUUACCUGGUCAGCGCGGAGCCGCAGGCCGGCUAGUCAGGUGAGUCGUCGGGGAUUUUAAAGAAGCCGAAGCCGGUUUCUUUGCUAGGAAAGUCUACAACACCAUGCAGGGACAUUGCAAAAUCUUUACGCACGCCUCCUUUCCCCGGGCUCCCCCGACCUCCGCCGGAGAGGGGGGAGCCGCCGGCGGGCGCAGGCCGCGGCCCCGGCCCCGGCGGCGGCCCCGGGCCUCCCUGCCGCCUUGGUAGCGCCGGUCCGCACUCGGCCUGACCCGGGACGUCACGCCGCCUGUCUGUUUUCUCAAUGAUAACUUGGCAGCGGCAGGGGGAAGCGGCCGGGUUAUGUAUUUUAUUUUAUUUUUUCUCCCCUGGGCUCGGUACCGGAUACGUGCGCGUUUCUCUGCAUGCGUUUUUAAGCGAAACGAAGGGGGGAAAAAAAGCCGAAACAGGAAAUCCGGCGCGCGGCGGGGGCUGCCGGCCGCGAUGGUGGCGGGCGCGGGGGAGCAGGCAUGCGUUCAUCUUUUUGUCUUUCAUUUUACCUUCAGGUUGACGCUGGGCGCCGGGCGAGCCGCGUUGGUCACCGCCGGGUCCCACCUGGAGGAGGGAAGCACACGCAAAAGGGGGGAAAAAAAAAAAAAAAAAAAAAGGAAAAAAAAUCACGGAAACGGGCGGGGGGGGGGAAGGGGGGUGCCACCCGGAUGCGGCGGAUGGGACAGCACAGCGCGCGCAGAGCAGGGCCCCGCCAUGUCCCUGCACGGAACGGGACUGAGGGAAAAGGCACCCCGUGUCGUGAGGGAGCGCAGGGGACGUGGGGAACGCAGGCCCAUGAGGGCUGCUCAUGGGCCACGACGCUGUUGUGUGGAGGCUGGCAGAUGCUGAGCCGGGCUGGGUGGUGGGUGACCAGCAUGUGGUAACGAGGCCUGCCGCCACCAGGUCAACCUGUGUGACUGGGGGUUGUUGUGAGCAGGGGUAGGGGGUGGCACUAGGCUUGGUUUGCUUUCCUUGGUGUUUGUGCUCCUAAAAGGAAGGAAGACCAUAGAAUCGCUGAGAUUGGAAAAGACCACUAAGAUCAUCUAGACCAACCAUCAACCCAUCACCACCAUGCCCGCUAAUCCAUGUCCCUCAGUGUAAGUAUACACGGGGGCAGGAACCUUUUAGUUGUGUGCACUUCUUUCUGCACAAAGUUAUUUCCAGUGCUAGGCCUCACUUUCAGGUAUGGCACGGACCGCUGUGCCCUUUCAGCCAAAGAUAGGUCAUUGCACGCAUACACUUUUAAUAUCCCAAACUGCCAACUCACCACAGCAUCUACACACUGACCAAAGCGUGCAGUAAGGCCCAGUGUCAAGUGGCCCCAUCCCACAUUGCAUUUUCUACUGCCUAUUCUGACAACAGCUCGCCAUGUAUGUGUAGCUAGUCAGUUCACAGAGCAGCUGAAAAGCUGAAGCAGCACAGGGCUGAAACUAAAUUAUUGUUGCAGCUUCAAUAUUAGCAUUAACGCUUUCAUUUUCCUCAUUUAAAUACAACAAAAGAGAAGAUUGUCCUUGCUUAAUAUUGUUACUAAUCAGGUUUGGCUCUUCCAGUUUUUUAAGAAGAUGAAGCCAUGGAGAAUCUAGCAUGUACUUUUGCUGCUGCCAGAUUCGGUACUCUGAAACGGUGCCUCAUUUUAAGUGGAAAAAGUCUUUGCUCUUUAACCUGGGGGGAAAAGUCAGUCCACAGAAUACAGUGAAGUCCAAGCACCAUUUUAAGGAGAAUGAAAUCGAAAAAGUACUUUUUAUUUUUAACACAAGCUACUCAAGGUGCUUUCUGUCCUGUCUAUAAGACAAAUUUGCAUAGUGUUUCUGUUUCAGAAUUGUUUUGAGCAGCAUUUAGGCUAUUUAUUUGUCUUAGGUAUACUGUCUCAGCAGAGCUCUGGAGAGCACAGGGUGCGUUACUGAUACAUUGGUCUUGGUAGACUUAAAAGGCACUUUGUGUAGCUUGAUUGUUGUCUGUAUUUUGCCAUUUAUUUUUCAGUGAGGCUCUUCUCAUUGAUGUGGGGAGUUUCUUUAAAGAGAUGUAAGUUAUGGCAUAGCUACCCAAGAUGCUCUGCACAGUUGUUCCAUACCUCUCCUAAGAGGGAGAUUUUAGUUGCGAUUGUUAUGCUUUUAAAAGGGAAUUAGUUAAUCAAAUUGCUGGUUUUGGAAUGCAUUGAAAGGAAUAUUGAAAUGCAUUAAGUUCAUUAAAAGAAGUGAGCAGAUAGGCAACAAAACAAGUAUUAGUCAAAUAAGCAUGAACUUGCCUAUGGAGCCAAAUUCAGCCCUAGUGAAAUCAACACAGUUGUGCUUGUCUACAGCAUAUUUAAUUUGGCCUAUGCAGCCGCAGAGCCAACACUUCAUUUAGCUGUCAAAGGUGUGUAUAUUAAAAACAUAUGAGCCAUGCAUCUCCUUCAUGUGAUUAACCUCUGAAGUUAAAUGCCCAGUUUUCUACUUAGUUCAGCUGCACAGUCCUAUCACAUAUGCAAAAUUUGGUGCGUGUAUACACUGAGGUGCAGGGAGGCAUUCCCAUCCCAGCAUUAGCACAGGGACGUGAGCUGUGUCUAAAGGGAGGGCACGAUGAGGUGUGUUGCAGCAGAUGUUGCUCAUGACCAGAAGGGCUCCUGUAUGUAGGCCCCAGCUAAUGGGCUGCACUGAGGUCUUUGCCACCAUCUUUCAUUACUGCUGUUACUCACACUAGCGAGAGUAAAGGAAAGACUGGUAUGUGUAUAAUCACUCGUUCAUUUGCCAUGUAGAUAUAUCUUAAGAGCCUCUCAAGCCAGGAAAAUUGUGCUGGAAUUAGGUAGUGGAUGGAUGUAAAACAGAACUGUGUGCAGGUGGCUUGUUCAUUCUGGAACGACAGAGCUUCUUCCUGGUUUCAUUUAAUCCACUUUUAAAGUGGAUUAAGAGAAUUCAAAAAAGUGAGCUCUUAGGCUGGCAUGAUAUUUGUCUACAUAUGGUUUUGGUUAGGAGUAAUUACUGCAAUGUAGCUAAUAAGUGUUUUGGAAUAAUUUUGUGCGUAGACAAGUCCAAAAUCGCACACCUGCAAACAACACACUGUACGUAGUCUUUCUGUAUAACGUAAGGUUAAUUUAGCCCAACAUUUGACCUACUUCUUUCAUUGUGAGGCAUAUUUAAUUCAUUACAGGUUUUUCUUUCUUAGCAGAAACUGUACAGCAGCCAUGUGCUUAUGAUCAAUUCAAGGACAGUGCUUCCAUGUGCACUCCUCAAGAUAAAUAAACAAUUUACACAACAUAUACUCUGAGUACAUUCUCAGCUGUGUUGGAGCAGACACUUGGCUCUCUACUGCAGAAAAUAUCAGGUUUUGAAUUGUAAAUAUUUUGAGUAGAUUCUUAACAAAAGGAAAACAAAAGCCAAAGGUCUAUGUUCUCUUGAACACCCGUGAUCUGCUUGUCCUUUGACUAUGUAGUGCUCAAAGCAGUAGUGUCUGCAUGAAACACCCGUUAUAAUUCAGCAGCACUAGUUCCUACAUGAGGAACCUCUCAGAUUAGCACAGGAUGGCUUGCAAAACAAUGGGGUUUCCAGGAGUUACCUUAGGAACAGGGAGCUAGUUUUACAUCUGCUUACAGAGACCUGAAUCAAGAAAAGCCUACUGCAGUUACUCUGCUCUGAAUAGACGUAGGAGGGCUCAGAAUCAGCUGUGUUGUAUCACUACAGGUUCAUAGGAAAGUUACUGGAAUGAUAAUGAGAAAGGAAUUUUUUUUGUUUGCUUGUUUUAUUUUUCAGCUUUGUGCCAAGUGGAAAGAUCUUCAAACAUUAUUGUCUCAUUCUGUGCCACACACCUCCCUGCAAAGAGAGGUAACUCUGACCUGAAUUAAGACUCCUAAGCUUUAAACUCAAAAAAAGGGGGGAAGAAAAACAAACAAACAAACAAACAAAAAGAUGUAAGCUCAGAUAGUAAAACAAAUAAAUUUUGAAGGGAAACAUAAAUAUAAAAGCUAGAUGGUACAAACUGCUGAACCUUUAAACACUGACAUGGUAACAGCCAAUGAAAGCUAUGAAGAUAUAAAGAAAAAAACCCUACUUUUUGUGAAAGGCAGAGGUACCGAAGGAUCUUCCUGCGUGCAGAUGAAGUCACCUUGCUAUCCAUGUAUCAGUGCUGCAAACACAGUUCUCAUUCUUGGCUGAAGGAUACAGGGAAUGGAUUUCACGUAUGUCUCCUUCAUGCUAAGCCUGCUUAUUUAAGUACAAAGCUUUCUGAUAAAAAAGUGAGCAUUGGAUGAAGAAGAUAAAAACACAGAUAAACGUGAUAAAAAAAACAAGCUCUUGAAUCCUGUUGUGGUGUAAUGUUGGCCAUGGGCCUAGUCUUGAUAGUAAGGCUGAAAGAAGACUGAAAUCGGAGGCAAGGAGGGCUUGGGGACCAUGCAGGAGCAUGUCUAAAAUCAUUAUCAUGUCAACAGCUGGAUUAGACUGCUUUACACUGCUGCCACUAGGAGCUCUCCAAAAGCAGGAGCCACCUGCAGUGAGAGGGUGUCCAGGAUCUGCCCUGCUCCUGCUGGGACAGGGGACUGUUGAUCCAGCAAAGAACAGGUCUGUGAAAUGGAGAGGUCUUGGGGACAACAACACAACAGAAACAAGAGGAAACCUCAGCACAUGGCUAGCGCAGAGAAAUGAAGGAUCCUCUCUGGGAAUUGGUUAGUAGCGCUGAUGUUUAAUAUUUGUCAUAACAACCACUGACUGUUUUGUUUUUUGUUCUAACAAUGUGAAUUAUGCAUUAAACAUUAAUACAAGCGAGUGUACUUUUCUUUUGAUCUUCAAGCAUAAUCAUUUCUAAUGAGAGUUUAUACACAAGCAUUGAAACAAAUCCCUGAGUCAUGUGAAUUUACAUUGGUUUUACUCUGUGUGAAAGAUAUCCCACAUGGGUUACUCAUGUCUGUUAAACAACAUACUUACAAAUCAGAAAGAAAAAAAAAAAGAACUUGCAUUUGGCUUAACGUAAGUAUCAGUGUAGACGUUUGGUUCACACACUAGCAAUAGCGCAAUAUUGAAGAGUGAAUUUACUAGAGAUCAGAAUCAGAGUGAGGUCCCCACCUAAUUAACGUCAGAUCCAAGUCCUCACAGAAAAAAAAGCUCACUUGACUUCUGCAGCCUUGCUUCUAACAAGACUUGGGCCAAGUAUUGGAGGAAGUUGAACUAAUUGUAUAAAGAAGGUGGCAAAGAAGUCAGGAGUUGGCUCACUUGAUGCAGAUAAAAGCUGCCCAGGAGCCAUCUGCAAGUACCAGUACUACAUAUAUGUAGCAGACUAAUUCUACAGUGCUCAGUGGCACCUUCCUUGAUGCCCUUGACAGACAAGCUGCAGUGCAGGGAUGACUCCAUCUGAACCAAGGCCAGAACCAUGUCUCAUUUCUGCUCUUUUAAACAGUGACAAACUGCAUUUUGUGAAAGCACAAACACUGUGUAACUGCUAGCUCAGUUAUUUGAAGUAGAAAUGGAGUUUGAGCCCUUCCACAUGCAGUAUGUGCAAAGUACAUACAAGAUACUAAGUGCAGGGUGGAACAGUCUGCAAUGAACCUGAUCCCUCUGUAUAUGAGGGCUCACUACAAGAUUUCUCAAAUGCCUCUCCAGAACAGAUCUUGAAGGCAUAGGCUGCAGAGGAAGAAUGGCUGCCAAGAGGGUAUUAUGUUUAAUGGCAGAUAGGAUCUAUCUAUGAUCCAGAACAUUCCUCAGGAAUUCUCAAAAGCCCAUUAACGUAUUUUAUUCUUAACAUAUGAGUGCUACAGAAGGACUGGAAGCCAGAGACCCAUGAUUACCCCAUGUAAUACAGUGUUCUUGCAGGAGGCUGCAGUUGUGCUUCCUGCUGCUCCUCUGCUUUGAUCUGAAUAAGAUUAAAAGCUAAUGGUGGAGUUUUGAAAGGAAGGGCAGAAGAUAUCUAUGUGAGGAAUAGUCUUCCUUGAGAUUAUAGGGCUUCAUAUAGGAUUAUAUGGGAGGCACUUGGUACAUUUAGUUGGAAGAUGAAUAAGUCAAUGCUGGAUCUUUAAUAAUCUUCACCUGAAGGACCCCAGCUCCAUCUACACCCUGCUAGCAGCCCAUUUUCAGAACCUAGCCUUAAAAGUUCAGCAAGUUUUCUGGCUCUUCAGAAUGCCCAAGUACCUCCCCAGGCACGCACAAAAAGCCUCGCUUUCAGUGAUGUGGGUAGAAAAUGGUAUACGCAAUGCAUAGGGAGGCCUUUCUCAGCGUGGUUCAGCAUUACAAAGCCUGUCAGACCACAGGCUCCCGGGAUGCCCUCACAGCCCUGGAAUGCUAGCUGGAAGUGUUCCCCUGUAAUUUAGCUCAUUUGGAACAUUAAAGAUGCUCAUUUCUAGGGACAUAAGUGAAAUGCGCUGAUACUGAGCCCAUCCUUUGUUUUACACCUGCAGGCCUCUAGUAGCCAGCAUAGAGGCUAGUGGGAAGGAGAGGACAUCAGUUUUAAUUUAGUUGUUUAUGACAGAAAAUGGUGAGAAAAGUGGGAAAAGAUCAUAUUCUACAGACUAAUGCACUUAUUUACACUUAACUGCCUAACCCCAGUCAGAACCUUAAAUUCUA